ACGGUUAUAAAUCAACACAUUGAUUUAUAAGCAUGGAAAUCCCCUGAGUGAAACAACGAAUUGCUGUGUGUAGUCUUUGCCCG
rnacentral:antisense_RNA from 1 species